rnacentral:lncRNA from 1 species
UUAAAAUCUCUCAUUCACCCCCUUUGUCGAUAACUUUGAUCCUACAGGAAGAGCAACACGAGAGAAAUAUCAAUGUCAAGAGCCCAAGACAAUCGUUACAACUAGAUUGACACAGGAGAGAGUUAGCGGCAUGAUUAACACAACAACCUGCACCUGUUAUUCUUGUACUAGCUGAAAACAUUUUGAGAAUGCCAAUACCACUGACAGCCUUGAAUGUUUUAAAUUUCUCUAAGCUUCUCCAUGGAUAACGAUAUAUCUCCAUCUUCUUCCUUCAGCAGCCAGAUCAAUUAGAGUGGUAUUUUUCGAGGCCAAUUGCAAAUGCAAAAAAAUUAAAUGGUAGAUUGGGAUUACACAUGAGAAAUGGCAAAGUGCAACAAACUUUGCAAGAUUUAUAACUGGCGCCGAGCAAUCCAGCAGCGGUGUUCCUUCUCGUACACUGCUUCAGGCUGAGGGGUCAAAGCUUCCUACAUUGCAUGGAAUAUGUAGGGAUUUUGUUACUAGUCGGAUGCAGAUAUCAAUGUAUUUUUCAGGUACCCAGUGAUCUUUCGUACUACAAGAACGGUGUGGGAACAUAUAGGCUGGAGUAUAUAAGCUAGUGACUAGAGUCGCGAGGUGAAAAUAAUCCUGCCAGGAGCUACAGACUACUUACAAUGGAACCAAAGAUCGUCUAUAUCAAUCUCACCUUCCUCUUCAUGUCAUCUUUCUUCUGCCUUUUCAUCACCUUUGUUGGCCAUUCAGCGGCAAGCUUUUGGAGUUCUUCUUUCACGAAUGGUUUCUUCUGAUCAGGCAGGUGCUACAGGCACUCAAAAGUUGUCAUCAGGCAAAUGGGCGAUUGCAUAAGAACUGACUAACAGCUCUUUUGGCAUCAAGAUUUCCUAGAGUUGUGAAAAUAUUUGUACAAACUCAAAAAAUGCCAAUAAUAGCAUGAGAUAGAAAGGCUUCAGGAACCACCAAAGAUGGUAGGGAAUUAAGAGUGACGAAGAGCCAACAAAUAUCUAGCAAUUGGAAUUAUGCAACCAACCCUGUGAAGGAGUUAAUGGUGGCAGAGGCAUUCUCUGGCUUGCGUUCGAACAGAGACCCCUGCAAUAAGACAACUCAUAAUGGGUCUCAUACAGUCAUACUAUAAGUAAUUAAUACAGUUUUAUGUUAAACAUGAUGGGAGUGUAACAUUAAUGUGAAAUAUUAAAAGUUACAGAAGUGAACAAAAUCCAGAAGUAAUCAAUACAGUUUUAUGUUAAACAUGAUGGUAGGAGCAAUUACCUUUGCACAUGCAUAACCUGUUGUAAGAGUAUAGUGUUUCAUAGAUUUGCCUCUCAGGCUAUUUUUCUCUCGAAACGGAGGUAUAGACUGAGUCUCCUGCAGAAGCACAAAUAUAUUAGUAAAGCAUUUUUCACAGAACAAAACCUUGUACUAACUACAAAAUGCGAAUGUUUAGUUUAAAAGUUUAAACAGCGACAGCAAAUCUACAAUUUGACUGCUAAACAACCAAAAAUGGUUAUUAUCAGAGACAACAUCAAAACCCAAAACUAAUAGAAACAUUUAUCUAACUGUUGUGGUGGACAUUUUCUCAUGCAUGUGCAUGCUGAAUGCUUACAUGUUGAGAGAAAUGGAAGGUUAAUGGGUGCUAGCUAUUUAGAUAUAGAAGAUUUUUUGCUGCUUUUAGGCCCAGAACAACAAGGCAUCUCCAACACAGCUAGGUUUAGGCUUAGGUUGACUGUUACACUAUAAUUUUCAUAAGAGUAAAACUGCUAUCUGCAGAAACAAAUUAAAACUUUGCGCUCUCCGCAACAACAAAUUAAAUCUCUGCUCUCGGCAAAGAGAAAAUUAUGUGUUGAUAUCUGCAUCAAAAACCAUAGAAAUUCCUGACGAUGAACACAUCUGAGGGAGGAGAAAACAAGGAAAACCCUGAACACGUCCAAGGGAGGAGAAAGCAAGGAAGCACGCUGCCGCCAUCUUCUCCGAACCGUUGCGCUGCCUCCACCCCUCCCACCUGAGCCACCGCUGCCUCAUAUUCAUGAGCAAGAGGGUUAGGAGAAGUGCCUUGGUUUUUUCUUUUGGCACAACAUUCAGGUAGAAUUCACAAGAUGUAGGGGAGAGGAUUUUACCCCGGUGGAACCCGAUGGUUUGGGAGGGAAUAUGCGAGGUGUAAACCCAGCCAGAUUUGUAAUGCUGACAGAAAUUGAAGAGGUUGUUCGACCAAGUUUCGGGCCCGGUCCAAACCAAGGCAGGGCUAACCAAACAGGGCAAAGGGGGAAAUCCCACCGGGAGGGAUGCCGCGGCACGGGUAGCGAAAGGUGCACACAUAUGCGCCUUAGAUUUUCCAAGCAUGCAAUAUAUGGUACUCCCUCUAUUCCAUAAUAGUUGCCUCUGAUAUAGUACAAACUAAUAUGGAACGGAGGGAGUAUAUUUUUGCAUUAACCCCCUUUCCUUGACAUAUCAAAUAGUAGAAUAAUAAAAUGUAUAUGCAAACUAAGACUACCAGCUAUUUCAUCAACAAGAAAAUUACAAGCUUUACAAAGGAGCGGCAAGCCACACUGGCAUAGCACAAGCCACGGGCAUUGUGCCUGCAACCUAAAGUAUGCUAUGGGUCCUCUUUGCAAAAAUUUGGCUAGAUAAGCUACAUUUUCCACUGAACCAAGCAAGCGGCACUUCAGUAACUUGUCCUAGAUGACCCCACUGCAGCAUCAUAUAUAAAUCGGCUUCACAUCAUUGGCCCCAAAGCUUAAUCCACAGGAAGGACAUCUUCGCUGGCGGUUUCGAAGCAACUUCUGUAUACAGUCAUUGCAGAAAAGAUGGUAGCACUUGGUGAUCACGACCUAAACGGCACCGAAGAACGAGUUGUCAGAUUUGAUAUGGUGGCCAAGGUUAUACUCCCUCCGUUCCGAA